GAUGAACGCUGGCGGCGUGCCUAAUACAUGCAAGUCGAGCGAACGGACGAGAAGCUUGCUUCUCUGAUGUUAGCGGCGGACGGGUGAGUAACACGUGGAUAACCUACCUAUAAGACUGGGAUAACUUCGGGAAACCGGAGCUAAUACCGGAUAAUAUUUUGAACCGCAUGGUUCAAAAGUGAAAGACGGUCUUGCUGUCACUUAUAGAUGGAUCCGCGCUGCAUUAGCUAGUUGGUAAGGUAACGGCUUACCAAGGCAACGAUGCAUAGCCGACCUGAGAGGGUGAUCGGCCACACUGAAACUGAGACACGUUCCAGACUCCUACGGGAGGCAGCAGUAGGGAAUCUUCCGCAAUGGGCGAAAGCCUGACGGAGCAACGCCGCGUGAGUGAUGAAGGUCUUCGGACCGUAAAACUCUGUUAUUAGGGAAGAACAUAUGUGUAAGUAACUGUGCACAUCUUGACGGUACCUAAUCAGAAAGCCACGGCUAACUACGUG
rnacentral:rRNA from 1 species